rnacentral:rRNA from 1 species
GACGAACGCUGGCGGCGUGCCUAAUACAUGCAAGUAGAACGCUGAAGAGAGGAGCUUGCUCUUCUUGGAUGAGUUGCGAACGGGUGAGUACGCGUAGGUAACCUGCCUUGUAGCGGGGGAUAACUAUUGGAAACGAUAGCUAAUACCGCAUAACAAUGGAUGACACAUGUCAUUUAUUUGAAAGGGGCAAUUGCUCCACUACAAGAUGGACCUGCGUUGUAUUAGCUAGUAGGUGAGGUAACGGCUCACCUAGGCGACGAUACAUAGCCGACCUGAGAGGGUGAUCGGCCACACUGGGACUGAGACACGGCCCAGACUCCUACGGGAGGCAGCAGUAGGGAAUCUUCGGCAAUGGGGGCAACCCUGACCGAGCAACGCCGCGUGAGUGAAGAAGGUUUUCGGAUCGUAAAGCUCUGUUGUAAGUCAAGAACGAGUGUGAGAGUGGAAAGUUCACACUGUGACGGUAGCUUACCAGAAAGGGACGGCUAACUACGUG